CGCUAACUCAUUUUCGCGCCAAAUUAUCUUCAUGUUUUCGCAGCGCCCUCACCGGGAGGCAUAGAAAGACUUCCGGUCGUAUUAACUGCAGUGUUUUCAUCGAAGACUUUGGGGUAUGUCAGACAUCACUCUUCUCAACAACAGACACAGAUUGCAAGCAGAGGAAAUGAAGAAUGCAUAAAUUUUUAUGGGUGAAUUUAUCCUGACCACCAUAAAUCUAUUAAAGUAACAGUACCUCUCUUGAUUGAUUCUACAA